AUGGUUAACACCAUGUUAGACACUUCAGGUCUAUCCAAGGAAUGGUGGGGGGAGGCGCUAAUGAGUGCGUGUCAUGUCCUAAACCGAGUUCCCACAGAGCAUAAGACCAUGACUCCAUUUGAGGAAUGGGAAAGGAAAAGGUUGAAACUCUCUUACCUACGUACUUGGUGUUGUUUGGCGAAAGUCAAUAUACCAAUUCCCAAGAAGCGCAAGCUUGGACCAAAAACCGUGGAUUGUGUUCUUCUGGGCUAUGGUUUUCAUAGCAUCGGCUAUAGAUUUUUGAUAAUAAAAUCUGAGGUAUCCGACAUGCAUGUUGGUACGAUUAUGGAAUCAAAUGAUGCAACUUUCUUUGAGGACAUAUUUCCUAUGAAGGAUAUGUCGAGUUCAUCAAAUCAGGAGAUACCUACUCCAUCUAGUGAGGAAUUCACUGUAAUUCCUGAACCCACCAUUGCGAUGGAACACGACUAUUUCAGAAGCCUAUGCAUCUCCUGA
rnacentral:rRNA from 1 species